rnacentral:rRNA from 1 species
CUAAUACCUGAUAUUAUGAUUUUAGGGCAUCCUAGAAUUAUGAAAGCUAUAUGCGCUGUGAGAGAGCUUUGCGUCCCAUUAGCUAGUUGGAGAGGUAACGGCUCACCAAGGCGAUGAUGGGUAGCCGGCCUGAGAGGGUGAUCGGCCACAAGGGGACUGAGACACGGCCCUUACUCCUACGGGAGGCAGCAGUGGGGAAUAUUGGACAAUGGACCAAGAGUCUGAUCCAGCAAUUCUGUGUGCACGAUGAAGUUUUUCGGAAUGUAAAGUGCUUUCAGUUGGGAAGAAAAAAAUGACGGUACCAACAGAAGAAGUGACGGCUAAAUACGUGCCAGCAGCCGCGGUAAUACGUAUGUCACAAGCGUUAUCCGGAUUUAUUGGGCGUAAAGCGCGUCUAGGUGGUUAUAUAAGUCUGAUGUGAAAAUGCAGGGCUCAACUCUGUAUUGCGUUGGAAACUGUGUAACUAGAGUACUGGAGAGAUAAGCGGAACUACAAGUGUAGAGGUGAAAUUCGUAGAUAUUUGUAGGAAUGCCGAUGGGGAAGCCAGCUUACUGGA